UUUCUUCCCUUUUUCUCCCAUUCUCAUCUCUCAUCUGUGCAUUUCACUUUCUCUAAUCAUUGCCCACGAAACCCCUUCUCAUUUACUUUGAUUGGACUGUGACUUCACUUCCCUUCACAAAGUGUAUUGACUUCUAUCUUCUCUCUUCUACGAUAGGACAAAGUUCUUGAUAAAUGAGAGAGAGAGAAGAGGUUGGUGUUGUAAUUUUG
rnacentral:misc_RNA from 1 species